AUGAGUGUCUUUAGGCUGCCUGCAUCUGUUUGUGACGACUUGACAAGAAUGAUGAGGUAGUACUGGUGGGGUGUGGAGAAUGGUAAGGGAAAGAUGGCAUGGCUAAGUUGGAAGAAGAUGGUGGUUCCCAAAUCUAUGGGGGGCAUGGGCUUCUGGGACAUGAGAGCUUUCAAUCAGGCCCUGCUUGCUAAGCAGGCGUGGCGUGACUGCCCAGAUAGCCUAUGUGCAAGACUUCUUAGGGCCAAAUAUUACCCUCAUGGCAAUCUUUUGGACACAGUGUUCCCUACUAGCUCGUCCGCAGUUUGGAAGGGGAUUGUUCAUGGCCUCGAGUUGGUGAAGAAAGGCAUCAUUUGGCGUGUGGGAGACGGGACACUGAUUAGAACUUGGAGAGAUGCGUGGAUUCCAAGAGGCCAUAAUUUCCGGCCAAUCACACCGAAGCGCAAUUGCAGACUAAAUUGGGUGGCGGAUUUCUUAACUGAGCAUGGUGCUUGGAAUGAAAAAAGGUUGCGUGAACAUUUUUGGGACAUGGAUGUACGGGAAAUUCUUAAAAUCCGUACCUCACCAAGAAAUGGCCAAGAUUUCAUUGCGUGGUUCCAGGAGAAGAGCGGGCAAUUCUCUGUGAGGAGUGCCUACAGACUCGCAACGCUGAGUGUGGAUCCGGGUGGUACACCCGCGACGAGCAGCAGUUCAACUGGGGAGAGACCGAUCUGGCAGUGUAUAUGGGCAGCCAAGGUACCCCUCAAGAUGAGGAUUUCGGCGUGGAAGGUAGUUUCGAGGGCGUUGGCAACGAACGCCUGCAAAAAAUAUCGGCAUAUCUCUACACGAGAUACCCGCCCUCUGUGCGCAAAGGAGAAGGAGUCCUCGUACCAUGUCCUAGUCACAUGUGAUCAUGCGCAGCAGCUAUGGAAACAGGUGCAGAUGUUCUGGAACUUGCCGAGCCGCGAUCUGCUGCAGGAUACAGGGCAAGACUGGCUUCUUAACGUGCUUGCAAAUUGUGAUGAAUAUAUGAGGGCGUGUGUGAUUAUGCUAAUCUGGCGUAUA
rnacentral:rRNA from 1 species